rnacentral:rRNA from 1 species
UUGACGGGGGACUGCACAAGCGGUGGAGCAUGUGGUAUAAUUCGAUGAUACGCGAGAAACCUUACCAGGGCUUGACAUAUACUCGACGGUUGUAGAGAUACAGCUUCCAUUCGGGGCGGGUAUACAGGUGCUGCAUGGCUGUCGUCAGCUCGUGCUGUGAAGUGUUGGGUUAAGUCCCGCAACGAGCGCAACCAAUGCUACCUGUUGCCAGCAUUCAGUUGGGGACUCAGGUGGAACAGCCGGUGACAAACCGGAGGAAGGUGGGGACGACGUCAAGUCAUCAUGGCCAUUAUGUCCUGGGCUACACACGUGCUACAAUGGCCGGUACAGAGUGAUGCGAAACCGCGAGGUGGAGCAAAUCGCAGAAAGCCGGUCCCAGUACAGAUUGGAGUCUGAAACCCGACUUCAUGAAGGUGGAAUCGCUAGUAAUCGCGCAUCAGCACGGCGCGGUGAAUACGUUCCCGGGCAUGUACACACCGCCCGUCACACCACCCGAGUUGGGGUACCCGAAGUCGCU